GAUGAACGCUGGCGGCGUGCCUAAUACAUGCAAGUAGAACGCUGAAGGAGGAGCUUGCUCUUCUGGAUGAGUUGCGAACGGGUGAGUAACGCGUAGGUAACCUGCCUGGUAGCGGGGGAUAACUAUUGGAAACGAUAGCUAAUACCGCAUGACAACAGUUAUUGCAUGAUAACUGUUUAAAAGGGGCAACUGCUCCACUACCAGAUGGACCUGCGUUGUAUUAGCUAGUUGGUGAGGUAACGGCCCACCAAGGCGACGAUACAUAGCCGACCUGAGAGGGUGAUCGGCCACACUGGGACUGAGACACGGCCCAGACUCCUACGGGAGGCAGCAGUAGGGAAUCUUCGGCAAUGGACGGAAGUCUGACCGAGCAACGCCGCGUGAGUGAAGAAGGUUUUCGGAUCGUAAAGCUCUGUUGUAAGAGAAGAACGAGUGUGAGAGUGGAAAGUUCACACUGUGACGGUAUCUUACCAGAAAGAGACGGCUAACUACGUG
rnacentral:rRNA from 1 species